UGGGCUUUCCAGAUGAUAAGGAGAGAGUAGGGGAUUUAGAGUCAGGAAUGCUGGUAUCUCUUUUUUGGGGAACGCUGAUAUCUUUUACCCCUUUUUACCUAUGACACUUCAGACAAUUCAUGCCAUCUCUCUCUCUGUUUUCUUAUUUGAGAAACAGGCAAUAAUCCUUACCUCAUGGGAAUAAUAUUGACACCACCUGGGCAGGGAACUCAUCCAAUCAAGCCACAAGUAACAGCUCACGCCUCAAGAUCCCCACCCCGACCUGCCUCUGGAGGUGUCUGAGAACGUACCCGUCACAUCACAGACCUUCCUUUGAUACUCACCCGGCCAGAAGUCCUGGACUUUCUUUGAUGUGACCAGUAUCUCCUGCUAAGCUAGGAGGGACAUUGUGUACCUGGGUUGCAGCUCUGGCCACCCUCAGCAGACCCAAGUCUAGAGUCGUUAUCUGAUGCACCCGCGUUCAUCGACAGCUCUCCAGGGGAGUCCGGGCCAGACUGAGAGUUCACUACCCUGGUCAGAGCCAUGCGAGCCCAGGCUCUGCUGCCCACCCUGCUUCUCUGUGUUCUGCUGCUGCAGGCCCAGGGAGGGCACCGUAACCUGAACAGGAGCCAUAGAGUGCAGGUAUCCUCAGAAAUCAAUGAAUGUAAGAAGAGAACCAAAAUAGAGAUGUGCAAGCGCCCCUGUACACAUCACCAGGAGUGCCAAGCAAACAACGUGUGCUGCACCACCUUCUGCGGGAACGUCUGCAUGAACAUCCUGUGAGUCAGGGAGCAGGCUGGGCUGUGCGUCCUGCUCCCCGAGCCCUCCAUCCAGAGACUGUGCCUGUGGCGGAAGCACAAGGACCUCACACCCGGGCACAAGGAUGUCAAUAGGAAUGCCACCCUCCCCACUGUCUGAACUGCUUGUUCCUGUUUAAUAAACCACAACAAAUG